AGUUGAAGAGAAAUUAUAUCUGGGGGUACGCGAACAAAAAAAGGUUGAAUGCCAUUAUUGGUCUAGAUGACCCUUACUUAUCGGCAUUUCUGUCGGGCGACUUUACAGGUGAAUUACGACGCUUUGCCAUGGAGGAAUAUUCCGUCCUCUGAAGUGGAGAGUUCUGAAAGUACGUUGAGAAAAAAAAACGGGUGCUGUUACCGAUACAACGUGACUUGGCCUACGUCACAGAAGACGAGAUGCCUGAAAUGACGUUGCAAUAUCGAACUAAGUAUUCUGAGAUAUUGUUUUCAAUUGCGUUUGGUUUCUAUUAGAAUUUGAAGGCAUUUGACGGUGGUCUCAGUGCAGGCUGGCUUCUUGUUUGUUUGAGGAAUUUCGUGGAACCUCUGGACACUCGUGUGGCUUUUGAAGGAGGGUUGGCCGUUCACGUCAAAUGCCAACCUCUUGUCCGUAGAGUCCAUUGGCGCCAGGUAACUCGUGCUUACGUCAUACAACACGAGAUACCCGAAAAUUAUGUUGGAGCAUCAGCGAACUAAGGACUCCGGUGAUUGGCGGAGCCGUCUUCACAUUCACGGUGAUUAUGAUAUCAUCAUUCUUCAUCGCCGUCGUGAACCCUCUGAACCUUAAGAUUUUCCCACGCCUCGCUCCUGGACGCUGCUCUGUGACGUCAUAUGACACGAGACGUCUGAAAUGAUGAGGCACCAGCGAGCGACGGACCCGGUGUCGGUGGUCGUCGUUAAUGCAGAUCUCUGUUCUACUAUCGUUGCUGGUAGAAGAACUACACGUGCCACUGUUUCGUCUUGAAAUUCUUCGUAUUUAUGUUGACUCGCAGUGAGGGGAGAUUUUUUAAGAGCAUCUAAAAUUUCUGACUUGUUGAAUUAUAAUUAUUAAUUUUAUAGUAGAGUAGGCAUCAGUUGUAGCAAAUUGAAGUGUGAAUUUAUAUGAUAUUUAAUAUUUAUUUGGCUGAGUUUUCCACUGCCUAAUUAAAGCGUGCAUUGGUAGUGAGUAACCGCGUCAUCUCCAGAAAACGUCUUUUUAUUAUAAAUAAAAUAAUACAGAAUUUAAUGAAGUCAACUCGAAGAAUUAAUGGCAGUGUGAAUGGAGUUAGUGCGUCUUAAACAUGAGUAAAGUUGUAGCAGACUUCAGACCGCAGCAUCUCAGGAUAGAGCGGCCAUUUUGAGAAACAAGGGAUGAAUGCGGAACGUGGCCAUGUCUCAGCGACGUCUGGAUCCUCGGCUCGUCAUCGACAUUACCACUUCGAAUUCAAGGCAGGGGUUCGUUUACCAGUGACAUACAUGAUUCAUUCAAGGCACUACCACUUCCAUGACAACGCAGGGGUUUGUUUUAACAAUGGCGUACGAGAUUCAAACAAGACACUACCAGUUCCAAGGCAAGGCAGGGGUUUGUUUUAGCAAUGACGUACGAGAUUCACCACAGACAUUAACAAUUCGAAGAAAAGGCAGGGGUUUGUUUUAGGAAUGAGGUAUGUGAUUGACCAUAGACGUUACCACUUUCAAGACAAGGCAGGAGUUUGUUUUAGCAAUGAUUUGCGUAAUUUACAUAAUACACCACCAGUUCCUACACACGGCAGGGGGCUGUUUUACCAAUGAUUUACGAGAUUCACAGAAGACACUACUAUUUGCAAAAUGAGGCAGGGAUGUCUUUUAGCAGUGACUUGCGUGAUUCAUACAAUAUGUGUAGCGUGUUUCAAAAGUAGCUUUACAAGUUGAGGAGGGCGAGAUAUCGGUGAACUGAUAGGAGAAAAAUAUAAUCUCAGAAACACUGGAAGUUUUAUGUCCAUCGGAUUUUUAUGGUUGAAUGUGAGUUUCAUUUGUUAUGCGGCAAUAUCUUGCUACACGUGGUGUAGUAGCAUCUCCGGUGACACUUGAGCGGCGGUAAUUGGAGUUUGGAGUUCGGCCACAUUUGCAGGUUAGGGUGGCACGUACACUCGAUGUUUAAGAAAUGCAAAGAAGAAAAAAUAUAGAGGUGUAACGAGGUGACCAUGCUAUUGGUGCGGCCCGACCGAUCCACCGACCUGGGAAACGGUUGUAGAGGUACUCCCGCACUUCUCCGAGGUAAUGAGGGGGUGCACCGUCUUGCUUGAAGUGAAUGCGUCCUUCGUGGUGUUCUUCGUCAAGUUGAGGAAUGAGGAACUGUUGGGGAAUGUCCAGAUACACGAUGCCGGUAAUGGUCUUCUCCAUGAAAAAGUACGGGUCGCACGCUUUAUCCUUGCUGAGGGCUGAGAACACAUGUUCCAGGAAGGCGCGUGGAUUUUCACUACCCCGAAUCCUGCAGUUGUGUGCGUUGACCUUACCAGUGACAUGGAACGUGCUUUCGUCACUGAAAAUUACUGAGUCCAGAAAUCCUUUGUCUUGAACGCGACGUAAUAUUUUUCGGUACUACAGUUUAUGUGCAUGAAACUUGAUGUGUUUGGCUAAAUUCGUGCAUUUAAAAAUAUUGCGUACGUCGUUUAAAUAAAUUUAUAUUCUGCUGAGAAGUUGUAAAGCUACUUUUGAAAGACGGUGUAUACUACGACUCGACACACACGGCGAUUCACCCAAGACUCUACUACCAGCUCUUGCAAUUUGCUUUAUGCGUGUAUCAUUGUAAUUAUUGUUAUGAUAUGAAUAAGUUGUCGUAUGCUACAUGGGACGUGUGAAUAAAAUAUAUCGCCUGCUGAGAACAAUAGUGACGUAAGUCAGAAAUCUCAGUUUGGCGCAACUGCAAUCCUUGAUCCCUCUUCUACCAUAAUUACAAGUUAUUCCGAGUAAAUUGCUUUGAAUUAAUUAUGUAAUUUGUAUGUUUUCUGCAUCUUUUGAGUUGUGUCGCUAAAUGCAUUACGUGAUGCAUAAUAUUUCGUUUUGUAAAGUAGUUUAUUGUUAAAAAAAAAUUGGAUUUAACAUAUUAAUUAACGUUUGGAAUAAUAAUGAUAAUCAUCAAUCUACAACUUUUUCUGGAAGAAGGGUAAGCUAAUGUUAUCUAUAGAAUGACGUUGAUGUCAAAAGGUUUGUGCUCUUUGCUGACAAGAUGAUAAUGGUAAUUAAUUAGUUAAAGCUACUCUGAGGUUUGGCUUUUUAAUAUUGCAUAUCACAUGAAUUAUUAUUAUUAUAAUAAUUAUUAGACCCAUAAAGCAAUAAUAAUAAUAAUAGUAGUAGUAGGUAAAGGAACUGUAAAGCUAUUGAAAUCACAAAGUAGGUGCCUACAUUAAAUACGUAAUUUAGAAAAUGACGCGUUUACUGACGUAAGUCGAAAAUAGGUCUUUUAACAAUUUUCACAGUUGGUGCAGUUACUGACGUCACUAUUGAGGUUAACACUCGCCAAUCCUAACGCCAUCUAGGUCGUCGUCUCAUGAACGAAGACGGUAAGAGAUACGAAGGAAACCUCGACAAUGGUGGCGUUUUAUCGUUCACCUAGCGGCGCAGGGCGGAACUAUUAUUAAUAUGUGUAUACGUAAUAUUUUAUAAAUAAAUGGAGCAGAAGGAAUAUAUAAA